UUCACCCUUUCAUUUCAAGGUGUUACAACUUGCAAGAAUUGGUGGGAAAGAUGUAAGAGACUGUGUCCACAAAAUUCUUGACAGGCUCUUCACCAACCAGUUGAUGGCAAAGUUCAAUAUGAAGGGGAAAGGGAAGAAGCAUAAACUGCCUCUGGAGACAACAAACAUAUAAAGCAAUAAGAGCGGCAGUCAUGAAGUGGGAUAAAGAAGCUAUAGAGGCUGCAAUAAAGCAUCAUGCAGCAGACCAUCUUAAACAUGCACCUGGGAGGAAGGGAGGAGGAGGACAUGUUUGUUUUUAGUUCAUUUAAAGUUCCAUGGGACUCUGUUCUGUCAUUUAAAAACAAGGUGUUGGUGUUUACAUUUUGAUACAUAAAUGCAAAUAUUGUUUUCCUAAACCUCAUUAAAGACAUUUCUCAUUUUAUAAAA